rnacentral:rRNA from 1 species
GACGAACGCUGGCGGCGUGCUUAACACAUGCAAGUCGAACGGAAAGGCCCUGCUUUUGUGGGGUGCUCGAGUGGCGAACGGGUGAGUAACACGUGAGUAACCUGCCCUUGACUUUGGGAUAACUUCAGGAAACUGGGGCUAAUACCGGAUAGGAGCUCCUGCUGCAUGGUGGGGGUUGGAAAGUUUCGGCGGUUGGGGAUGGACUCGCGGCUUAUGAGCUUGUUGGUGGGGUAGUGGCUUACCAAGGCUUUGACGGGUAGCCGGCCUGAGAGGGUGACCGGCCACAUUGGGACUGCGGUACGGCGCAGUAUGCUACGGGAGGCAACAGUGGGAAAUAUGACACAAUGGGCGGACGCCUGAUGCAGAAGCGCCGCGUGCGGGAUGACGGCCUUCGGGUUGUAAACCGCUUUCGCCCGUGACGAAGCGUGAGUGACGGUAAUGGGUAAAGAAGCACCGGCUAACUACGUG